rnacentral:lncRNA from 1 species
CCUGGAGUUUGCUGUCUUCCCUCCAAGUUGGACCCGUGUAUGGUAAGCCCUGCUUGGAUGGCUUUGGGGUCUCUAAAUUGCUGCCUGUGAACCACCCUGUUGAGCGUGUUGGAUUCUUCUGCUGCUGUAACCACUUUACCAGCUCCUGGGCUAAUGAAUGACAGCUGGGUCUCUGCUCAGGCGUGGGUGGGUGCGGGGAUGGCUGCGGGAUCCUUUUCAGGACAAAGUAUUCCUCAUCCACCCCAAGUCAUCCUCUUUCUGGGCACUUGGCAAUGUUUCUGUGCACCCUGCUGUAAUCCUGGAGGGGAGCAGGAAAAAGGAACCUUUGAAUCCCAGGCUGUCGUGUUCUAGAGCAUGACUGUGUCAGGGAGAAUGAGCGCCUGGCAUUCAUAGAACACAGUCCUCUCUCAGGCCCUUUCCCGUUUGCCAUUUCAUGACUUGCUGUACUGGUGGCCCUUGGAGAAGCAGCAGUGCAUAGAUCGUUGUUCCCACCUUGCAGACAGGGAGAGUAGAGCCCAGAGAUCUCUCCAAACCACACUGCUUAUUUGUGGCAAAGCAUUGUGGCCCCUAAUGAGUUUUUAACCACCAGAAGAAAUAACAUUUCUUAAGACUGUUUUUAGAGGUAACAGCAGCCCUUUCUGAGGAAUUAGUUUUGAAUUUCACCACAACUGGAAUUAGAAAUUUUCUCCUUUUACAGAUGAGGAAAUAGAUGCUUAGAUAAGGUGACUUGCCCCAAAUUAUAGUGCGGUGAGUGGCGGCGCUCACCCCGUCUGAGGCUAUGCUGUGUGCAGGUGGUUUGCGUCGCUAGUAGGCACCAAUGUCCGUUCUGUCUUCCAAGCCCACUUGGCAGCAGUGGCUUCUCUCUCUGUGAUGUGUUCGGCUCACCUUUCCUGUAGGCUUCUGGGCUAUCCCCUGUGCGCCUUGAAACCAAGCAAAAACCAACCCACAUCUCCCUGAUCCUUCCUUAGCCUCCUAAAAUCCAGACUUUCUGGGCUCGUUCUUUUUCUGUUCCUUUGUUAGUGUGCUACUGGGCAAGGUGACCAACUGGUCAGCCCUGGGCCAGGCAGCCUGUUUUUUUGUUUUGUUUUCUUUUUUGCCAGCUACACAGUUGGGGUUAAUUUCUACAGACCAUCAUUUUAUACUGUAACUGAACCCUAUAAUAAAGUGCAAAUUCAGUAAUUGCUACUUGGAGAGCUCCUCAGGGGUGGGAAGGAGGACAGGGGAUGUGCUGUUGGAAGUAUGUGUUUUAUGUUCCGCCUCAUCCACACUUUGGUUUUUGGCCACAUCCUCCGUUCCUGGCUCGGCCUUCAAACAUGUGCUCUAACCCAUGGGAUCACCGUCACAGUAACACAUUUUCCAGAGCAAUCUGGUGUUGGGAUCCCCUUGGAUUCUUCCAUCAUGAGACUUCUCGGAAGUCUCAGCUUUCUAAAAAUCCCUCAUUCCUGCAGAGGCUACGUUAAAGGAAUAUGGUAGCCAUCAUCUGGGAGGUAAAAAACCUAUGGAAAUUGGCACCUGGGGAACUCAGGAAAGCUGAAAGCACCUUGAAAUGAGAUGGAAGGACCAGAAGGUUAAGGCUGGUGAAGAGGAGACCUGGAGAGAACGUGGGCACUCCUGCCAGACGCAGCCUUGAGAGAGCAGCUGAGGUGCGACAUGAGCUCCCUGUAACCAGCAUGUUCAAGCAAGAAGCCGGUUGUGUGGACGGCAAAGAGGAAAUGCUGUGGAAUGUCAGUUUGGACGAACUCUGAUGUUGACUGGUGAUGCUGCCAAGACCAUGUCUCCCUUCUUGGGCACGUAGAUUUAUUGAGAAAAACCAUUCACUGUCACCUACUGCUUCUUACCAGGCUCUGUGAUGGGGGAGAAGGAGCAGUUGGAGAAAAUGUCAGAAUCUGCAGCUUAGACAACUGAGUAGAAGGUGAAAUCAUUGACCCAGAUGGAGAGUACAGGGAGGGGAAGAAAGAGGUGCAGAGGAUUUGAACAGAAUGAGAGUCCUCCUCUGUGCAGGGAGAAAGGCUUCAGUGGGUCUCCCCCUCCCUGCUAGGGAUCCUCCUUGCCAGCCCUGGGCUGGGCGCUGGCAGGCCCGUUCCCAGGUCUCCCGCCGAGGGCAGGAGAGGAGCCAGGCCUCAGGAGAGAAGUGCUUACUGAGUAAUUUACCAAGAGCGAUAGGCUUCCCACUGAGCCAGACGGGAUCCCCAGGAGGGGAGUCAGAGGCGGGCCUGGCAUGCAUGCACAGAGAGAGUGUGCCCACUUGGGGAGUGUGAAGGGCCUUGCUGUGGGACCCGAGAGGAUGAGCAGAGUCAAGUGGCAGGUGGGACACACAGUCUGCAGUCACUUCUUAAAAGGCCCUGGGUGGUGUGUCCUUCAAUGAUGACCAUUGUCCACAAUAGUGAGUUCCAGAGGGUCGAUUGGGACAGUUGGAUAGCCAAGGACCAGAGUCAGGAGGCAAGGCUGAUGAGCAAGAGGCUGUUGCCAUUGGCCAGGCGAGGCGUGAGGGAGGCUGAUGGAGCGCAGCAGCAGAGGGAUGGAGAGGCAGGAAUGGCAUCUCCUCACAGGCCAGGCUCCUCUGCCGGAUUGGGUAGGGACGGGAAGAUGAUGGCCCCCAACCCUGGGCCAAGGAACAAUAGCACCCAUCCGGGGGCGGGGGACCUGCUGGAGUACUUCUCCUGGACCACUGCUCAGUGGGCAAUAGAGGGAACAAUGGUGUUUCUGACCAGGACGGGGGAAGGCAGGGGAAUGGAGGAAGAUACUGACAGGGUACAGAGGAGGUAGAAUGGAGCGAGGGCCAUCUCCACCGGGCUAGGAAAUGGGGCUUUGGUGGGCCACACUCCAUUGUGCUGGAGCACUCUGGCAUCUCCAUUGGCAGUGGGGAGGGGCUUGUGACCUAUCAGCAUCUUCACCCUUUCUGAGUUUCCGCCGGGCUGGGCUCUCCAGCCAGGAGUCACAGGUACCGGGUGGUUGUUCAUGCUGAGGCCUUUUGCUUGGCAAAAAGUUAAUCCAUUUGUGUUCAUUUUUAACCUAAGCAAGGGUUGGAGCUUGUUGGAUUCAGCAUCUGUGGAACACAGUCUGUAGCCCAUGGGAAGACGUGGACAUUCUUUCCCAAGUUCUUGAAGGACGGAAAGGACCAUGAACUUGUGAGGUGACCGGAGGAUUGGUUUUGGGUGUCAGUUUUGUGUCUGUCCCAGUGCUGCCACUUUUGCUUUGAAAUGGACGGGGAGAGCUGAAGGCCAGCAUGGGUUUCUGCACCUGUUUCCUACAGCUCUGCUGGGGACUGUGGCUCAGGUGGCAGCUGUGGACACGGAUCCUGUCAGCCUUUGGGUGGCCAGAGCUCCAAGGCCAGGUGUCUCUUAGCUGCAAGCAGCCUUCACUGUUAAUCAACAGGCUACACAAAUCUCACCUCUAAAGAGGUGAAAUGUGAAAAUAUAUGGGAAGCGCUGCCUUAGCCCUGUGUCCACAAAUCCUUUCUGUAAAGGGCCAGAUAGCAUUUCAGGCUUUAUGGACCAUGUGGUCUCUGCCACAACUGCUCAGCUCUGCCACUGUAGCACAAAAGCAGCCAGAGACAGUGCGUAAAUAGAUAGCAUGGCUGUGUUCUGAUGAAGCUUCACUUACAAAUACACAGGGCUGUAGUUUGCCAACCCCUGCAAAGUAGGGAGUAUUUUGCCAAACUUGGCUGUAUUUCACCAACCCCUUAGACUAUAGAGAUGACUUACCCUUUGGCUUAAUCAUGACUGGAAACUUCCUUCCCAUCCACUGCCUGGAUCCAUCCACCUCCCCACAAAGGCUUCCUGAGCAUCUCCUCCGUGUGAGCACUGGCUCAAUGCACAGGACGAUGUAGUUCCUGCCCAUAUGGAACUUAGGUUUUGAGUGACACGUGGGACAUUGGAAGAGGAGAGCAGGUGGCUAAAGAGCAUCAUACAGAACAGGGCUCAGGGAAGUCCCAGGUGAUAGAAUCUCAAAGAGAAGGGCUGAGGGUGAAUCAGGAAAGCCCUGAAGGCAGGCAGCUCCGGAGUCGGGUUUAGACGAGGAGGCUGCAGUUCUCCAGGAAGGGAAGCAGGACCAGAUAACGGAUGAGAUUGUGUCAAACAAUGAGGAGGCCUGCAUAGUCACACAGGCGCAUGAGGUCUGCUCGUAAAGGACCAGGAGGGCCAGGCUCAGGGGUGUGGACUGGAUUCUCUGGGCUGUAGGGAGCCACUGGACAGCUGUGCUCAGGAGGGUCAUGUGAUCACAAAUGCUUAUUAGAAAUGUCACUGGCUAUGGAGGACCAUGUCUGUGGUUGUAAGUUACGCCUUUCCGUUUAGUCUGGACUUCCUGGUCAAGGUACUUUUGGUAUUAGAGUGGGGAAGAGAGGCCCAGAGAGUUGGACAGGUUUUCUGACCAUUGGCUUAUAGUCAGUGAGCACCCCACCUUUAUUUUGACAUGACAGAGCUUUACAGAAUCUUCCUUCUUCAGGCGUUUUCUUUCCUGCUAUCCUAAAGAUUCACGUACGAGGGCAGGAUAAAUGAAACAUUCUGUCUCCAAUCUAAGUUCGGCUUGGGGCCUCAGAAUAUGAAGGUAAAGGGGCGGGGACGGACUGACUGCCCCUUGCUUCAGAAUCAAGUCACAUGGCGGGAACGCUCUAUGGAGCAGAUUGCUUCCUUUGUACAUGCCCUAGGCCCGUGUUCAGCAGGCCUCAGAGAAGCAGAGGUGCUGGCCUCUCGUCUCCAGAGGCUGCCAGCUACUAAGGGAGGUGGAAGCAACUACCCCUGGGGGUGGACUGCUCUGGGCCGGGCCCGACGUCAGGCGUAGGGGACUGAGGUGAAUCAGACGUGGUGGCUGCAUUGAGGAAUGCUCAGUGUAGUUGGGGUGUUUGUAGCGCUUUCUGCUGAGCAUGGUCUUUCCUCUCAGAGGGGUUUCUAGGCACGUUGAAGGGAGCUGCCGUUCAGAGCAUCGGAGAGGUGCCAGGGACGUGAGCUGCUGCCAGUCUGACGUGAACAGAAGGUGGGAAUAGCUGGCGCUGCCGUGCGUUGAUAGGAGCACAGUGUCCGCUGCGAAGGGGCGGCUAGGGCUGGAGAAAGAUGGCCUGAUAGAAGCGCCUCCACAGGCGCUGAUUCAGCGAAGCCCCAGCAGCCCCGCGGGGCAGGCGAGGAUCACAUGCAGCUCGGAGAAGAGGAGGCACUUGCCCCUCUGCCUGAGCUGGGAGGUGGUGGCCAGCUGCACACAGGGCUGUCCCAGGAUGCUGACGAGGCGGG